rnacentral:rRNA from 1 species
UACGAAGGGGGCUAGCGUUGCUCGGAAUCACUGGGCGUAAAGCGCACGUAGGCGGCUUUUUAAGUCAGGGGUGAAAUCCUGGAGCUCAACUCCAGAACUGCCUUUGAUACUGAGAAGCUUGAGUCCGGGAGAGGUGAGUGGAACUGCGAGUGUAGAGGUGAAAUUCGUAGAUAUUCGGAGGAACACCAGUGGCGAAGGCGGUCUGCUGGGCCGUUGCUGACGCUGAGGCGCGACAGCGUGGGGAGCAAACAGG